CGCAUAGCGGACGAGCCCGGCGCGAUUGCCCCCCCGUAGCAAAAAUUACGGGGGGGGAUCGGGCCGGGAUAUGCCGCGCCCGAUACACCAUUCGGGUCACCCUGCUUUCUGAGCACCCUUCGUUUCCUCGGCGGGCUUGCCCGCCACUGGGGACCCCUCAAAACCUUUUGUAAUGAGAAGUAACCGUCAGUAAUAAAAAAUUUAUCA
rnacentral:misc_RNA from 1 species